rnacentral:rRNA from 1 species
UACGUAGGGGGCAAGCGUGUCCGGAUUUAUUGGGCGUAAAGAGCGUGUAGGCGGCCAGGUAGGUCUGCUGUGAAAACUCGAGGCUUAACCUCGAGCUGUCGGCGGAAACCAUCUGGCUAGAGUCCGGAAGAGGAGAAUGGAAUUCCCGGGUGUAGCGGUGGAAAUGCGCAGAUAUCGGGAAGAACACCCGUGGCGAAGGCGGUUCUCUGGGACGGUACUGACGCUGAGACGCGAAAGCGUGGGGAGCGAACAGG